UACGAAGGGGGCGAGCGUUGUUCGGAAUUACUGGGCGUAAAGGGCUCGUAGGCGGCCAACUAAGUCAGACGUGAAAUCCCUCGGCUUAACCGGGGAACUGCGUCUGAUACUGGAUGGCUUGAAUCCGGGAGAGGGAUGCGGAAUUCCAGGUGUAGCGGUGAAAUGCGUAGAUAUCAGGAGGAACACCGGUGGCGAAGGCGGUUCUCUGGGCAUUACCUGACGCUGAGGAGCGAAAGUGUGGGGAGCGAACAGG
rnacentral:rRNA from 1 species